rfam:Mesoplasma florum L1 complete genome.
UAAAAUGAGAGUUUGAUCCUGGCUCAGGAUAAACGCUGGCGGCAUGCCUAAUACAUGCAAGUCGAACGGAGGUGCUUGCACCUCAGUGGCGAACGGGUGAGUAACACGUAUCUAAUCUACCUUCUAGCGGGGGAUAACUUUUGGAAACGAAAGGUAAUACCGCAUGUGGAUGUUAUUAUCGCAUGAGAAAACAUUCAAAGAUCCGUUUGGAUCACUAGAAGAUGAGGAUGCGGCGUAUUAGCUAGUAGGCGGGGUAAAGGCCCACCUAGGCGAUGAUACGUAGCCGAACUGAGAGGUUGAUCGGCCACAUUGGGACUGAGAUACGGCCCAGACUCCUACGGGAGGCAGCAGUAGGGAAUUUUUCACAAUGGACGAAAGUCUGAUGAAGCAAUGCCGCGUGAGUGAUGACGGCCUUCGGGUUGUAAAGCUCUGUUGUAAGGGAAGAAAACAUAGGAGAGGAAAUGCUCUUAUCUUGACGGUACCUUACCAGAAAGCCACGGCUAACUAUGUGCCAGCAGCCGCGGUAAUACAUAGGUGGCAAGCGUUAUCCGGAUUUAUUGGGCGUAUAGGGUGCGUAGGCGGUUUCGCAAGUUUGAGGUUAAAGCCCGGAGCUCAACUCCGGUUCGCCUUGAAAACUGCGGGACUAGAAUAUCAGAGAGGUAAGCGGAAUUCCAUGUGUAGCGGUAAAAUGCGUAGAUAUAUGGAAGAACACCAGUGGCGAAAGCGGCUUACUGGCUGAUUAUUGACGCUGAGGCACGAAAGCGUGGGGAGCAAAUAGGAUUAGAUACCCUAGUAGUCCACGCCGUAAACGUUGAGUACUAAGUAUUGGGGAUUACCUCAGUGCUGCAGCUAACGCAUUAAGUACUCCGCCUGAGUAGUAUGCUCGCAAGAGUGAAACUCAAAGGAAUUGACGGGGACCCGCACAAGUGGUGGAGCAUGUGGUUUAAUUCGAAGCAACACGAAGAACCUUACCAGGGCUUGACAUACAGUGCAAAGCUACAGAGAUGUAGUGGAGGUUAACAUUGAUACAGGUGGUGCAUGGUUGUCGUCAGUUCGUGCCGUGAGGUGUUGGGUUAAGUCCCGCAACGAACGCAACCCUUGUCGUUAGUUACUAACAUUAAGUUGAGGACUCUAACGAGACUGCUAGUGUAAGCUAGAGGAAGGUGGGGAUGACGUCAAAUCAUCAUGCCCCUUAUGUCCUGGGCUACACACGUGCUACAAUGGCCGAUACAAAGAGUCGCAAUCUCGCGAGGGGGAGCUAAUCUCAAAAAGUCGGUCUCAGUUCGGAUUGAAGUCUGCAACUCGACUUCAUGAAGCCGGAAUCACUAGUAAUCGCGAAUCAGCUAUGUCGCGGUGAAUACGUUCUCGGGUCUUGUACACACCGCCCGUCAAACCACGAGAGUUGGUAAUACCAGAAGUACGUUUCCUAACCGUAAGGAAGGCGCGUCCCAAGGUAGGACUAGCGAUUGGGGUUAAGUCGUAACAAGGUAUCCGUACGGGAACGUGCGGAUGGAUCACCUCCUUU